UUUGUAGAUUUUUUUCCUGCACCUAACUACAGUAAAUGUUCUGUUCUUGUGCUUAAGUUGUCUGGGGUCCAUUCUUUCAUUAGUGUUUACGUGUAACCUGCAGGCAAGGGGUUUACGGUUAGUUUCCCUGAUUCCUGUCCAUACCAGAACCAUUGUGGAAUCUGUUCUAAUAACGAACCCAACACCCAACAUAGUGGGUCUAAACUGAUGUAGGAGGGUUUAGACUCAGUAUAACAGGUGUCUGACACAUCUUCUUGUGGAUCUGGUUACCCACUAGCAGAGAAUGCACAGAAAACUUUCCUUACCAUUACUUAAAAUGAUAAACCUGUAAUACCACAAGUUCAUCACACCAAACCUCAUUAGAUCUAAGAACAACUGGUGUGGUGCAAGUUCCUGUUUCACUUCCUCAGCAAGCUGUAAGUAUCAGUACUUCUUGACCAUGGUCACUUGACCUUUUGUUUUCUUCUGCAUACAUAGGAAAACUAUGUUUUAGAAAGGUCCUUCUCUAGAUAUCAUCUAAUGUCAGUCAUUCAGUUACAGCACACAAUUUGUAUCUGUUUCUAUUUUUUCAUUUUUAAAAAUACAUACGAUAUUAGAACUGUCUUCACAGACAGACUCUUAAAUGACU
ensembl:lncRNA